CCUACGGGCGGCAGCAGUGAGGAAUAUUGGUCAAUGGGCGCAAGCCUGAACCAGCCAAGUAGCGUGAAGGAUGACUGCCCUACGGGUUGUAAACUUCUUUUAUACAGGAAUAAAGUGAGUCACGUGUGCCUUUUUGUAUGUACUUUAUGAAUAAGGACCGGCUAACUCCGUGCCAGCAGCCGCGGUAAUACGGAGGAUCCGAGCGUUAUCCGGAUUUAUUGGGUUUAAAGGGAGCGUAGAUGGGUUGUUAAGUCAGUUGUGAAAGGUUGCGGCUCAACCGUAAAAUUGCAAUGGAAACUGGGAGGCUUGAGUACGGUGGAGGUAGGCGGAAUUCGUGGUGUAGCGGUGAAAUGCUUAGAUAUCACGAAGAACUCCGAUUGCGAAGGCAGCUUACUAAACUGUCACUGACAUUGAGGCUCGAAAGUGUGGGUAUCAAACAGGAUUAGAUACCCGAGUAGUC
rnacentral:rRNA from 1 species